rnacentral:lncRNA from 1 species
CAGAAACCUCCAGACACCAGGAGAUCGGGGACACACGCGGCCUGCCCGGUGGCGCGCGCUUCUCCCCCUCCCCCGCGGCCGGGAGCGAGCCGCCGUGACGUCACGGGCCACCCGCCAGCCCCGCGCUCUACCAGGCAGAGCGCGUGUGGCCGCCGAGCACAUGGACCCACUGGUCAAGCGGGCUCGGCAAGGCCAGGAUGAAGAGAAGCUACGAACUUAGCAUUCCCAGAGCCCCCCGAGUGGAUAUCCGCGUGGAAAGGAUGUUGGCAGCCCCGGUGACCUCGGAGUCACGGCUGGAUCCACCCUCUUGUCUGAUUUUCUUAACUCUACUACGGUAAGAAGAUGCCCUCCAUCAGCAGGCCGUGUCUGCUGGGACCUCUCUGGAGACUUCCUGAACCCUGUGGAUUUACAGUAAGAUGCAGUUUCCUGGGGAGUAAUUCUGGUGGAUACAAAUUCCGGAGUAUUACACCUGGCUUGCCUGGAGAUGUUACAAGUAGCUGGAUGGAUUCUUCAGCCUGGAUGCCCACUGAAAACAAGGACCGAAACUAAGAGGAUUGUAUCUCUACCCUUGACUCAAUGAGAAUGUUUGUUGUCAUCUCUCGGGCUACCUGGAGCUCCCUCUAAAAUUAUACCCUUUAAGCGUUCCAGAAGGAUUUUGAGAUCCUUUCCUAAAUCAAAGGUGGAAUAUUUGGGGAUUUGGAAAAUUGAGAUGUGAAGCGUUGACUUAAGAGAUGCCAAGUAACUCAGCAGAUGUCACACAGACGAUAAAUAGCAAAGAUGGAAGUCUUCAUGCCGGAGGCAAUCCUAUAAGACAGCUGAGUUCUGCAGAGCUGGUAGGAGACAGACUUGCUCAGGUGAUAGAUCCAGCCAUGAUACUGACCCUAAGAGAAUGAGACGCUCUGCAGAAGACAGAAGAUUCCUGAAACUGGGAAAGGUGCCUAGAAAUCCUGAUAAGAGUGAAGAAGGCUCGGCUCUCCAGUGUGGUUUUCCAACAGGAGUCAAAUAUUAAAGGACAUGAGCGUGUUGGGGAAAAAGAUGGAUAGUGCUAAACAGCCUGAGUUCAUCCUCACUAUCCUCUUCAUAAGGAGAGCAAGAACAACCCCGGAAAUGGCUCAUGCUUAAGGUUUCUAACCACGGUCACACCUACAACACACUGAUUGACAAUAUAGGUUACAGUACACAUGGCUCUGCUAUUUGCUUUUUGGUCACUUUGAUAUUCCCUGGUACCUGGGAAGAAGGAAUCUCCGUUGAGGAGUUGCCUACAUUUGAUUAGCCCGUAGGCAUGUCUCUGAGGCCUUUUCAUAGUUGCUAAUUGAUGGAGGACAGCUUAGCCCACUGUGGGUGGUGCCAUCUCCUGGACAUGGGGUCCUGGCUUAUAUCAGAAGGGAAGCUAAGCAUGCGCCUGGGAGCAAGCCAGUAAGUAGGUCUCCUCCAUGGUCCCUGUCUCUGCUCCUGCCCUUAAUUUCCUCAGCGAAUGACUGAUGCAAACAUGUAAGCCAAACAAACCCUUCUUUCCUCUCUGUUACUGUUGGUCGUGGUGUUUAUCACAGCAAUAGGAAAAAACACUAGGGCAGUGACGUAUAAGAGUGCACUGUGCCAUUGUGAGGAUUCAAUAUCCUUAGCGAUCUUCAGAAAAAGUUUACUAUGGUGCCUGGAGCAUUGUUAUUUGCAGAGAUCCCUAGUGGCUCCUGGGCCUCAGUUUCCCUGUCUUCAUUCUGUCUGUAUUAUAUAAGCAUGGUGUCCAUAGCUCUAGCUCUUGCUUAAUGAUUCAACUGAGUAGGUACAACCAUGCUGACCAGCCAUGACAUGUCCUGCCUGGCCAUAGCCUGGAGUUGGACACAGAAACAGGGGCAUAGCUGCCUACUGUGUGUGGCACAGUGUGUGUCAAACUCCUGGAGGCAGCCAGGCAGCCAUCUCUAUAUUCUUCCUAUCAGAAUUCCUUUCACAGGUCCAAGCCAUCUUAAGAUGGAUAAAGGCCUGGCCUUCAGGCAAGGCUAUGCCUGUCAGUUCCGAAUCUCCAGCUAAGUGGACUUGCAGCCCUCCCUGUCCUCUGGAUGUCUGCAUCAUUCAUACAAGGGACACGUUCUCUUUAGAGAAGAGCGUCUUCUGGGCUUCUCCCAGGUUGGAAGUGUCCUCUACUUCUUUCUUCCUGGCAAAAGCACUGGCCUAAGCAGCUCAGGAACAACCUACAAUAGAGGGAGGGCCUCUUACCUCGGAUGGAAGUGGAAACAUAGUCUCCACGUUGGAACUGAGUCUUGGUUAUGCUCUGAGAAGUAGCCUGGAUUUCUAAGAUCUCAUGCUCAUCGUUUUCUCUGGAGGCCCAACUCUGUUCUCAUGAGCCCUGGCACGUUCCCUACCAGCAUCUUUGUUUCCUAUCUGAGGAGUGCGGAUGAUGCUUCUCCUGGUAAGGGGUAUGAAUAGAAUUCCUGCCUGUGUUCUAUGUGCUGAAUCCCAGAGCCUAGAGUAGGGCCUGGGCUCUGGCGAUUGACUGGUAAACACUUGUUUUGGAAGAGAUAGUAGAGUCUUUGGAGUUCCUGGCACAAUCUUCUUGGAUAGUUGCCUGUGCCCGUUCUAAACCAGGAUCUGACUAAUUACAACUCCUCCUGCUUGCAUUAAAGUUUUAUUGGAACAUGGCGGUGUUCACGGUUUUAUAUGAUGUCGUCGAGCUUCUUUGCUCCCGCACUGGUAAAUUUAAUAGUCAUGAGAGAGAUAUGGCCGUGAAGCCUAAAAUAAAAACUAUGUGGCACUUGGUUACAAAAAUUGGGCUCCUGUUUUACAUAUCAAGGCCACCUUGUCUGACAGUGAUCAUGGAUUUUGUUUUUUCUUGCGCAGGUGCUUGGGGCAAUUAUAAGUCAGAAAUCAGAAGUGAGCUGGUCACCUUGAGGUCCAUAUUUUGCUUGCUUUCUCUAUGAUAGUUAGAGUUUCAUCGUCACUUUAUUUUGUCCUUUUAACUCUGUCCUGGCCCUGUUCUCCCUUGUAAGGUGUUACUUUCAUUUCUGUCUAAAGAGAAACUGAACCCACCUGUUAACUGCUGGCCUUUUCUUUAGGGACUGACCUUAUGCCCUAUAAGAGGGCCAGGGAACUAAAAUGGACAUAACACAGUAGAGUCUACUUCAUAGAUUCAAAGGCUGGGAUGCUAGGAAGUCCAGGACAGAGUCCAGGAGAGAAUAGAGAAUAUACAGAGUGCUCUUCUUUUCCAGCAUCCCAAAUGGCACCUUGGUCUUCUUGGAGUCAACUCCCCCAUCAUUAAAAUGGCCACAACAAUGUCCACUAAUCUGGUUCUCAUGGUGGCUGAAGCAUGAGAUGUCUAUUGCUCAGAGCACAACAGAGUUGUUAGAUAACAUUUAGAAUCUUUACUAUAGUUUAGAUGUGAGACGUUUAAAAAGAUCUCUGCUAUGUGCUCUUAAUCUCUAUAAUGGUCAACAGCCACCACUGAGAGCUAAUUAGGUAGGACCUUGUUUCUGGCCUAGUGAGGGACAUCUUCCUAGGCUAAGAAGCAUCUGUGAAGUACCUUGAGAUCUGGUCCUGGAGGCUGCUUGUCCUGUUGCUAGCCAAGCAAUCCUAUGGGUCAGAGUCACAGCAUAAUAUAGCUAUUAGACAAUUUUCUUUUUCUUUUUUCCCCCAUCCAGAGAAUAAUAAGCUCUCAAGUUCCUCCACCUCUAGCACAAGACUACACAGGGAUAUCUAUAGCCUACAGAACUCACUGAGAACCCCAUAUCUGAGACUCAGGGAAGGAGCCAAGCUCAAGGCUUAGCUUGGUUGGCCAGUCAAGAUUUUCAGGUGAUCAGUGAGCUUUCUCUGUCUCAUUUGUGGUCCAUUGUAAAUGAUCUAGAACUGUUUCUGAGUGUGUAGAGGGUGGCUUACUCUGAGAACACUUUUGCCGGUAGGCUAAUAGCUUCCAAUGAGAGGUCCUUGAGAGUAGGAUCCCUUGUGCUUCUGCCCUGGCCAUGGAACUUCAGAGGUCCUGGACCUGUGAGCAAGAACACUGUUGUUUUGUUUUGUUUUUACUCCUAGCACAGGCAUGAACUCCUGCACUUGAUUCUAGUCCCGCAGAACUUGUAUUGCUGGUGUUUGUGAGUGGCUGCUUUCUAGAAAGCAAUAUCUUUACCCUUGCCCUCUUAGAGGUAUACGGGGAGAGAGAAUCAGAACUCCAGUUUACAUGCAGCUAGAGUUCUGAGGUAAAGUGACUCACUUAGGGCCACCCAGAAAAGAGCAGUUUGGCUGUCCUCCCAGGCCCUCUCCCUCUGAUCAUCCAAAUAUGGUAACACAUGGUGACACAGAGCCACAUGCUCCUCCUGGGUCUUCUGAGGCAGAGAGCUUCCAGGGACACUUUGGAAUGAAGGAAAUAGAAUCCAAGAGACCUCUUUCAGAGACCGCCAAGCAAAUCUUCUCAAGAAUCCUGGCAGAAUGUUGUCAUUCUCUCUCUGAAAGGGGUGGCUCUUGGGAUACUGUCCAGGUCACUGUGAACACAUAGCAGAAGAAAUGUCCUCCCAGCCUGCAGGGACCACCUUUUUCCAGGCCUUCCUCUGCUGGAAGCCUUCUUUACUCAACGCUUUCCCCUUUGAUAGUCACCUCGACUGACCUUGAAGCCUCCUUCAGUUUUCUCUAUACACAGAAACAGAAUGUCAGUCUUUUUUUUUUUCUUUUU